AAAUUAAUCAAUUAUUAACAUGAUACAAUCAAGGCUAAAGUGAAAAGAUAAGGCUUUGUGCAUUUGUACAAAGGUGAAUUGUGUUUAAUGAUGUUAAAAAGAGCAUACCUAAAAAUAAUAAUACUUUGAUACAUUAUGCAAAGGAUUGCAAAUCCAUAGAUAAGCCUUCCAGUGGAAGUGCUUAAUCAUUAAAUGUGCUCAUAUAUAUGUACAUCUUACUAAGCAGGAUUAGAUAUUAUUAUCAUUAUUAUUAUAUUUAUAUAGCGCCAACAAAUUCCAUAGUGCUUUACAAUGGGUGGACUAAUAAACAUGAAAUUGUAACCAGGCAAGUUUGACACAGAAACAGAGGGGUUAAGGGCCCUGCUCAAUGAGCUUACAUGCUAGAGGGAGUGGGUUAAAGUGACACAAAAGAUAUGAGAAGUAUUAGGGAAGUAGACUGGUAGAAUAGUAUUCAAUGAAGACUUAGUGUGGGCUUUUUGGAGCCAUUAACAGUUUAAUUGAUAUGCUUUUGUGAAAAAGUGAGUUUUAAAUUAUUUUUUGAAGGAGUGGAGACUGGGUGAGUGUCUAACUGAAAAUGGAAGAGAAUUCCACAGGAACAGUGCAGUUUUGAAGAAGUCUUGAAUGUGAGCAUCAGAGUUGGAAGUAUGAACAGAGGAUAGACGUAGGUCUUCGGCAGAGCAUAGGGGCCCAGAUGGGACAUACUUGUGUGUCAGGGAGGAUAGAUAGGUGAGAGCAGCAUUAUGUAGAGAUUUGAAAGCAAGAACCAAUAUUUUAUCAUUGAGCCCCAUCUCUUACGGGAAGCCAAUGCAGGGACUGACAGAGGGGUGAGGCGUGGGAGGUGCAGGCGGACAGGAAGAUGAGCCUCACCGCUGCAUUCAUUAUAGACCGCAAUGGGGCAAGUUGGGAACAUGUAAGACCACUAAGAAAUGGAUUGCAGUAGUUGAGGCGAGACUACUGCCGGAUGUGCACAUUGCUUUUGAGAUGGAAGCGUCAGGAUUUGUUGAUUGACUGGACAUGAGGGGUGAAGGAGAGGCUUAGAAAUAGCAGAGAGGCUGUCAGAGACACUAGUCAAAAGGGGCGGGAUAGAUCAGGGGAGGACAGAUAGAUUUGUGUGUCAUCCACAUAGAAGUGAUAUUGAAAGCCAAAGGAGCUGAUGCGUUUAACAAAGGAAGCAGUAUUGAUCGAGAAAAGUAGGGGACCUAGGACUGAACCUUGGGGGAUACCAACAGACAAAGGUUUGGUGGAAGAGGCAGAGCCAGAGAAAGAAACACUAAAAAAGUGCUUGGUGAGGUAGGAGGAGCACCAGGAGAGAGCAAUAUCUCGUAGACUGAGAUUACGGAGGAUGAGAAGAAGCUGUUGAUGGUCAACAGUAUCAAAAGCAGCGGAAAGGUAAAGGAGAAUUAGGAUAGAGUAGUGACCAUAAGAUUUUGCAGCGAGUAGAUCAUUUGAUACUUUGGUCAGAGCCGUUUCCACAGAGUGCUGAGCACGGAAACCAGACUGAAGUGGGUCGAGCAGAGCAUUGGAUUUGAGGAAGUCUGUCAAUCUCGCAUACACAAGUCUUUCAAG
rnacentral:lncRNA from 1 species